UCAGGCGAUGUGGGAGAUUGUGCUGUAAAAGCCAUUGUGUUGGAGCCACCUGAGCUGAAAGAGCUAAGUAUCCAUCCUAAUGCUUUUCCAAAAAUGAGAAAGUUGAGAUUGCUCAUCCUACCGAAUGUUCAUAUUUCUUUCCAUGGCCCUAUAUGUCUUCCUAAUGAGCUAAGAUGGAUGGAAUUUGCUGGAAGUGGUCCUUGGAUUCCAAAAUUUCCUUCUGGUCAAAAGAAAUUAGUAAGUAUUGAUAUGAGGAAUGGCAGUAUCACAGAAGUUGUAAAACACUUUAAGGACUUCCAACAAUUGAGGUACAUUAAAUUGAGAGACUGCGAGCCCCUC